AAAAGGUAUUAGGUGUACACAACAUGGGGUAUAUUUGCUUUAAAUGCAAAAGGUCUUUGGGAUCUGACGUCAGAGCAUUUUUUUCACAUUUGAGAGUUGCACAUCAUGUCUAUUCUACAUCCACAUACUUUCAGUGUGCUCAAGCUGGAUGUAAUCGCACAUUCAGUAUUAUUAGAUCAUUUAGAAGACACCUACUGCAGCAUGCUAAUGAAAUUGGCAAUGAAAUGGAGGAAGCCCCUUUGGUUGAGCCUGAAAACUAUUCAUCAGAUUCAGUUUUAGAGGCUGUUGAACAGAGUGAUGAGGAGCAUGAUGACAUUUCUGAUGAACAAUGUGAUGAGUUUCAGGAGGAAAAUAUAAGAGACAGGGUAGCAUUGUUUUUAGCAAAAUUAAGGUCAAAUUCCUCCCAGACAUUGAGUGCUGUUAAUUGUGUGGUAGAGCACACAUCUAGCCUUGUCAGUGAUGUUGUUGGAUCCCUACAAAGAAAAACAGCCUCUUUUUUAAGAGACAUAGGCCACCUUGACAGUCCUGAGAGCCAGAGUUUUUUAGAAAAUUUUGCAGUGGCAGCUCAACCAUUUCAGGGCUUUGAGUCAGAGUACAAGCAAAAGCAGUACUUUACACAGUCUGGAUGCUUUGUUCAUCCAAAAGAAGUGCCUUUCCCUGGUGUCUCAUACACCCAAAAGAGAGACACAUUGACGGGGAUUGUAAAACAAGUGGCAGUCCAAGAUACGUUUCAGCUAAUUCCUUUAAGGCCUUUGCUAAAGCUGGUUUUAGAAAGUCCAGGGACAAUAGACAAGAUCUUUGAAUGCCAAAAUCAAGAGAGCACUGCACUGCAAGAUUUUAGAGACGGCACAAUCUUCAAAUCCAGUGAACUGUUUUCCAAAGAGUUAUCCAUUCCUCUUGUACUGUACAACGAUGAAUGUGAGAUGGUAAACCCACUUGGAUCAAAAACUUCAGUUCACAAGCUAGGCUUUGUUUAUUUUACUCUUAAAUGCUUGCGACCUGAGUUUCUCUCCAGCCUAAACUCUCACUUCUUGUUGGCAGUGUACAAGACAGAUGACAUAAAAACUUAUGGAAUAAAUGCUGUCUUAGAUCCAAUUGUGUCUGAGAUUAAGGAUCUGGAAUUGGAAGGAGUUCAGGUUGACACAAAACAUUUCAAGGGUACUAUUAAAGCAAGCGUUGCACAGGUUUGUGGGGAUAACCUGGGUCUUAAUUCCAUCCUAGGCUACACAGAAAGUUUCUCAGGGAAAACUGUAUGUCGAUGGUGUCGCGUUCAUAAAGAGGUUUUGAGAGAACAGACAGUUGAGGACCUGUCAGUGAUGCGCAACAGGAUAAACUAUCACUCUGAUUUACUUCAGAAUAACCCAACUGAAACUGGCAUUAAAAGAGCGUGUUCGCUCAAUAAACUGCAGUUCUACCAUGUAACUGACAAUGUAACUCCUGAUGUCAUGCAUGACAUUUUGGAAGGAGUUGGAGGUUACGAAAUCAAGCUUGUUCUUAAUUCUCUGAUUGAACAAAAACUCUUAACACUCGAUCAACUGAAUAAUAGACUUACAAGCUUUGAUUAUGGUUUUUCUGAUAGUCGCAAUAAGCCAUCUGUUAUCAAGCCUCAGGAUCUUAAAAAUCCGGAUGGGGCCAUGAGACAAACAGCAGCACAGAUGUGGUGCCUUCUAAGGUUGCUCCCUCUUAUGAUAGGGGAUUUGAUUCCAGAAGGCGAGAGACACUGGGAACUAAUACUUUCAUUACUUAGCUGUAUGGAGUUGAUUUUCUCUCCAGCCUUAACUGCAGAGGCAGUUACAUUUUUGCAGCAUUUGAUUGAGGAACACCAUAGUCUGUUUUUGGAGCUUUAUCCAGACAGGCAUUUGAAGCCAAAGCACCACUUCAUGCUUCAUUAUCCUGGGGCCAUCAGGAAACUUGGACCGUUGGUUCAUUUCUGGUCCAUGCGUUUUGAGGCAAAACAUGGAUUUUUCAAAAGACUAAGUCAUGUAACCUGCAAUUUUCGGAACAUUUGUAAAACACAGGCUUUCCGACAUCAGAUGAUGUUGUGCUACACCCUGAUGUCUGAGAAAAUGUUUUCACAUGACUUUGAAGUUGGUCCAGGAUACACCACACUCCUGGCAUCUAUAGACGAUUUUGAAAAAGUGAAACAUGGAUUUGAGGGAAUCCCUUUGUUCUCAGAAGUCUAUUUACCAUCUUGGAUUAAGUACAAGGGAGCAACCUAUAGGCCAGGAAUGACACUUUUUGUAUCUCACUCUGCUGAUGGUGAGCCCCAGUUUGCAACCAUUAGGAAUGUUGUGCUCUUUGACUCCAAGGUCAAAUUCGUUGUGAAAAAAUGGGACACAGUUGGAUUUGACAGGCAUUAUUUUGCCUUCUCUGUGUCUCCUUCUUCUGUGCUUGAUUCGGUGGACAUUCACACUGUUGAAGAUCAUCACCCCCUUCAUGUUGUAAUGUCCUUACAGGACGAUGAGAACCACCGUUACAUUUCGCUGCGAUACAGGCUAUUCUAGGAGGGGGCGGGAGGGCGUUGUUGAAGAUGGGUUUUUGGUGUUGGGUGGGUGGAUGGGGUUAUGGUAGCAGGGUGAUCAAAAACAACAUUAGCCCAUGAUUGUGUACACCUAAUACUAAAAACUAUCAUGCACGUUUGAACAUUUAUACAAAUAUCAACAAAUUUCAUCAAAGUCAUCAUGGGGACAUCGCAAUACAUGAAUCAAUCAAAGAGCCUGCAACUACAGUAACAGUACUAAGGGAGCAGCAGCAGGGUCCUGAGCAGCACAGAAGAACGGUGGAGCAUGCAGCAGCAUUUAAUGUAAGAGACAUCCUUACAGCAAC